UAUAAAAGGCAUGCAUAUAUUUCCAUUUCUGAUAGAGGAGAACAAUAUGCAUAUAUUUCCAUUUCUGAUAGAGGAGAACAAUACACAAUAAAAGUCUUGCAAUCUGUUUCUUUGUUUCUUCCGUUAUGUUAUUUCAUAACACGUUAUUAGCACGAGACUCAGUGAAAUAAGGUAUAUUUUGUGUAGGUUCAGAGACACGAGUUCGAGAUCCAGAGCAGCAGUAGUAUUCUAGCUUCCAGUACCCAGCAGUUAGAGUUUUAGCAGUGAGUCCUCAUUCUCCGAGGAUAUGAUAUUAUUUUAUCAUUUCAAUAUUUAGUUUCUUUCAGUAGUGGAGUUAGUUGGGGACAUGUCCCAUCAACUCCUUAUUCAGACAGUAGAGGAUUUCAGACUAGAUGCAGACUAGAGUUCCGAGCACCAGGCUUGGGGCAUUACACUGUCGAAGAAUGUCGACGAAAAAACGAUUGGCCAAAAUGGCAAGAGGCGAUUCAAUUUGAAUUGACUCACUUGCUACACGAGAGACUUUUGACUUGCAGUCCAAACCUCAAAUGAUGUAAAACUAGUUGGCUAUAAAUGGGUCUUCGAACGUAAAAGUAAUGAGAAAAAUAAAAUUGAAAGAUACAAGACAUGCCUUGUUGCACAAGGAUUCUCUUAAAGACCCGGUAUUGACUAUGAAGAAACAUAUUCACCUAUCAUGGAUGCAAGAACGUUUCGAUACCUCAUCGAUCUAUCUGUACAUGAAAAUCUUGAAAUCCAUCUAAUGAAUAUGGUUACAGC